rnacentral:rRNA from 1 species
AAGAUGGCGACCGGCGCACGGGUGAGUAACACGUAUCCAACCUGCCGAUAACUCCGGAAUAGCCUUUCGAAAGAAAGAUUAAUACCGGAUAGUAUACGAAUAUCGCAUGAUAUUUUUAUUAAAGAAUUUCGGUUAUCGAUGGGGAUGCGUUCCAUUAGUCUGUUGGCGGGGUAACGGCCCACCAAGACUACGAUGGAUAGGGGUUCUGAGAGGAAGGUCCCCCACAUUGGAACUGAGACACGGUCCAA